CAAAGAAGAAGUGCGCUGAGUGUGAUGCUUUAACAAAAGCAGCAUACGUCCUAACAAGAAAUAAGGUCCUCUGCUGCUUUCUUCAUAUUGCCAUGCUGUCUUCAAAGGGCGCAUGGACAUCCAGGAGAUGGAUGCUCUGCAAAGCACCUAUGCCUGCAGGGAAAGCCGAAGGCGAAGAGCUGUGUCCUGGUGGCUAUUGCUUCUGUAACAACCACUCAGAUGAGGACUUCCCACGUUUUCCUCAGUGCCCCCGUGCUGCAGCUCUUCUUCAGGCUGGAAUGGUUGGGGUUCCUUCUGCAUCCAUCUGAUGUAGUGGCAUCUCAAAGGCUUUGCGCAGGUGAGAUGGGCACCAGGAGCAUGGGGGGCACAGGGGAAGCCAGGACACGAGUCACAAUCUGUACCUACAUGCUGAAUACGUACACAUGCACUGUAAUGCUGUGGUGCAAGAGCUCUGCUCUGAGCUUGGAUUGGAGCCCAGCAGCUUGGCUUCUCCCUAGAAGGAUGGCAAGGACCAGCUUUAAGCCAAGGAAAGAUUCAAAUGGGGAUGCUCAG
rnacentral:lncRNA from 1 species